CAGACUUGGUGCCUCCACAGAAUCUGGCAGGAUCCAUGGGGCACAUUCCUGCUGUGUCCAGGCCUCGGGCUUGUGGUGGUGGGAAUCAGCACCACGUGUUCCUACAGAGACCUGCAGGCACCAGAGCCUUGGGGUGCUGAUCUCAUCUUCUGCUUUCAGGCUGUUCGGGGAAUUAAUUCUGUUAUUCAGCGUCAACUGACUCCAAGACAGUUCCAGACUCCUGAGAGCCUGAAAUUAGGCUCUCAUGGAAAACAGGCUAAUGCAGGAGCAGGCAAUGCAAGCACAAGGCACAGCCAUAGUCCUGAAAUGCUUUUUCAGUGUAACUCUUUCACCCUCCCUCUUAAACUGUGUUUUCUCAGAGGUGAAAUGUCACUGAGGGUGUGUUUUUAUGUUUCUGCUGCACAUCAUCCUGGUCACCUCUUGCCUUGUCUUGGGCAAAAGCUCCCUCAGCUCCUUAUCAGUGUCUAGGCAGCAUCUUUACAUUGUGGUUAAUUCACUUCAUACUGUUUUCCUUUAUUUCUGGCAAAUGAAGAUGAAAUGUAAUUAUCUCAAAUGAAAUGAGCAGCUCAGUCUGGGGAACGGUGCUUAAACUGAGAAGAGAAGAAGUCAUUGUUCCUGCUCACAGAGAUAUCAGCAAAGCACCAACAAAUCCAUGUACUGACCCACCAAGUGGUUCCAUUCAGUUCAUGAACUCAAGUGUAGGAAGGAGCUGCAGCAGACACAGAGGGAGGACCAGCUCAGUCUCUUGGAUCAGCUGCACUGCCAUGGGCACUGGCUCACAGAGUCUGCUCUGCACCAGGCAUUGCCUUCCCUUGCCCUCCCUACAUCCUGACAAACUUCCACCUUUGGCAUCCUCGUUAAACUUAUUAAUUCUUCUAGAAGAGUAUUUUGAGACAUUUUCAGUAAAUAGAAAAAAAACAGGAUUCCAAAGGAGAGGCAAAUACCUGUCUCUUGUGGAGUUUUUUGUCUUGUUUUGUCCCUGUCUUUCCCACCUCUCCUCUCCACCCCCAGGCUGGGACACAAGGAGGAUUUGGGCCAUGGAGUCUGACACCAAACACACCCUGGGAAUGGGAAUCCUUGGUUUGGUUUGGUCUCUUGCAGCUGAAUGAGUGUCAUCAGACUCUUGACCAAGAGAUUGGAUUUGGAAUAGCUGGUGGUUUCAUACUAGAAUGCAAUAUCCAAGAGAUGCCUUAGAUUUUUACAUACAAAAGAUGUUUUGAAAUGCAGAAAACACUAAAUCUAACCGUGCAGGGGCAAGGUUGAUGCAGAAAAGCAAUAUGAUUCCAAAUAAUAUACUG
rnacentral:lncRNA from 1 species